rnacentral:rRNA from 1 species
CAGUCGCCACGGGAAUACGAAGGGGGCUAGCGUUGCUCGGAAUUACUGGGCGUAAAGGGAGCGUAGGCGGAUGUUUAAGUCAGAGGUGAAAGCCCAGGGCUCAACCUCGGAACUGCCCUUGAUACUGGCGAUCUUGAGUCCGGGAGAGGUGAGUGGAACUGCGAGUGUAGAGGUGAAAUUCGUAGAUAUUCGCAAGAACACCGGUGGCGAAGGCGGCUCACUGGCCCGGUACUGACGCUGAGGCACGAAAGCGUGGGGAGCAAACAGGAUUAGAUACCCGAGUAGUCCCUGUCUCUUAUAC